UAUGCAGAAGCCAUAUUGAUAUCCAUUGAGAACCACUUCCGCCACGGAAGCACCCUUUGUUUUAUAAUCAAAUUACGUAUUACUGAAAAGGAUAUUGUUUUAUAGUGCUAUUGGAUAAUGAAUAAUCUCUUCUACAUUGGGUCAGUAUUGUUACCUCAGUGAUAUUUCGGCCAGCUGCAUGAGUUCCUGUUCCUGAAUAGACAGGGUGACGUACUGCACAGUAAGAAUAAAACUGAAGUAAUGUGCUGUAAAGCUGUUCCACACCAUCGUUUUCCAGCACUUAAUUUACAGCUCAAAUUUUCAUUCCCAGUGAAGCAACAGAGUUGACCAGAUAAAAUUAAGACAAAGAGGGUGAAUUACACCUAUAUAUUAUACAAGAUUCCUAAAGUUUCUGC